rnacentral:rRNA from 1 species
AUUGAACGCUGGCGGCAGGCCUAACACAUGCAAGUCGAGCGGUAGCACAGAGAGCUUGCUCUCGGGUGACGAGCGGCGGACGGGUGAGUAAUGUCUGGGAAACUGCCUGAUGGAGGGGGAUAACUACUGGAAACGGUAGCUAAUACCGCAUAAUGUCGCAAGACCAAAGUGGGGGACCUUCGGGCCUCAUGCCAUCAGAUGUGCCCAGAUGGGAUUAGCUAGUAGGUGGGGUAACGGCUCACCUAGGCGACGAUCCCUAGCUGGUCUGAGAGGAUGACCAGCCACACUGGGACUGAGACACGGGCCAGACUCCUACGGGAGGCAGCAGUGGGGAAUAUUGCACAAUGGGCGCAAGCCUGGUGCAGCCAUGCCGCGUGUGUGAAGAAGGCCUUCGGGUUGUAAAGCACUUUCAGCGGGGAGGAAGGCGUUAAGGUUAAUAACCUUGGCGAUUGACGUUACCCGCAGAAGAAGCACCGGCUAACUCCGUGCCAGCCGCCGCGGUAAAAC